CAAUGGCUGGUACAAGUAACAAGGAACCAGUUGGUAUUACUCGAAUUGAAUCUUUGACAGAAAAUGGAGGGAUAGCAAAUGAAUUUAAUGAUUUUUUUAGGCGAUUUGAUACAAAUGAUUUUAGUGAAACAUGUAAGGACUUUUAUUCUAGUUUGAAAACAGAGGAAUGUUUGUGUAGUGGGACAAGGUGAUUGACAGCUGUGUUCACCUAUUGGAGAGUAGGGCUCUCUAUUUAAAGGCUGAUUGGCUGAAGCCGUGUAUGUGUCACGUCUGAUUUCCCUCCCCUUGUGUCUGUUGACGGUCGUUACAGUGUGUGUUGGCUCCGAUGCUGGUGCCUGUUAGCACUGUUACAUGGAUUUUAAAAGUGCUAGUCUCUCCGGUUGACUCCCUGUAUGCCAGGGCACUGGUGGCUGCCAUGACAGCUGUAUGCCAGUGUCCGUAAGGUGUCAUGCCUGGCGUAAGAAGCGGUAAGUGUGCAACCUGCAACUUUAAGUGAGAGUAGUAAUGUGUAGUCAUAAUGUUUACAUCUGUAUUCGCUUUAGGAUUCUCCCUCUCGUUCCGGGCUGUGAUUACCUCUUCGCGCUGUUUUUAGCGCUGCUAUUCAGCUUGCAGUGCGCACGUGUUGACAUCAUUAAAGGGUGCUGCUGGUGUCCGGUCAACCUUUGAAUAUCGCACCAUAUAGUGCUCAAAUCCAUAUGUGUUGGGGACAUGAACGUUUUUGGUUUAAAGAUUAAAUGAUGCUCUGAAUGAGCUCUGUGAUUCCCCUAUCCAACCUCUUUAAUUAUUUUGUUUCUUUUGUUUAUUUUUGUAUUUAUACUUUGUUUGCUGCACGUGACUCCUCAUCGUUGUAACGUGCCCAGGUGUAUGUGUGGCCUAUUGAACCUAGUAACACACUGUGACAGAGGGGAGUGGAGCUGGGGUCCCACGGGUGACAGGAAUUUCUACGGUGGUGGUGCUUCUCAUCGUGUGCUGUGUAACAUCUUGUGUGUUUCGUAGUGUGAUUUGAGUGCACUUUGGUGUGUGUGGUUGUGUGGAAGUGUGCUCUGCUCAAACUGAAUUCUGUCCUCUGCCGUUGGGAGCCUCAGCCCUGCUGGUAACAUUUUCUUUUCUUUAUUUGUUUUGAUUUAACCUUUUGUUAUAAUUAAAAUUGUGUCUUUUCCUUUUAAGGGGAAAGAAUGAGUAUUUGGUGUGUCUUUUUAAUCUAGUGUUUUUAAAUAUUUGUAUUAAUAAAAUUAUGUAACAUUUUGCAUUAUACCCACGUCUCCUGCCUACUUUAUUAUAAGGGACCGAACCUGUGUCCUUCACCCAUCAUUUUGGGGAUAAAU